UACGUAGGGGGCAAGCGUUGUCCGGAAUUAUUGGGCGUAAAGGGCGCGUAGGCGGCUUGGCAAGUGGAAGGUGAAAUCCCUCGGCUUAACCGAGGAACUGCCCUCCAAACUGCUUUGCUUGAGGCCGGGAGAGGUAAGUGGAAUUCCCAGUGUAGCGGUGAAAUGCGUAGAUAUUGGGAGGAACACCAGUGGCGAAGGCGGCUUACUGGACCGGUUCUGACGCUGAGGCGCGAAAGCGUGGGGAGCAAACGGG
rnacentral:rRNA from 1 species